GCGAGCGCCCGGGUGACCUGUACUGGCCGGGCGCGGUUUGCGGACGCUCUCCACUGCCGGCCGCGGCCUGGCAGGCGGCGUGUCGUCAUCUCUUUCGUCACCUUCGUCAUUCUGCUCCUGCGUUCGCAGGGUCCCGGGACACCCGGCCAGGAGGCGCCCCCUAGGCAUCCCAGCGUAAACAAUUGCUUUUAAAACUUCAUUAGGUUUUUGUGUGAACAUAAACUUUCGAUUCAUUUGGAUAAACACCAGGGAACACAAUUGCAAGAUCAUGUGGGCUGGAAGACAGAGAUCCACCAGGCUCUCAAUUGAAAGCCCUGGAGGGCUACACCCUAAGAACAGAAGUGAAUCGGAGGUACACUUAGCAAAACUGAAACCAGCUUCUGAUUCAGAAUAAUCUCUGACUCGAUUGAGGUGAUCAAAGGCUAUUCUACCUGCCCAACAGAAGAAAAAGGGAACACUUUCGGUGGAAGGCAAUAUCAUCUGGACCCUUUAUGGUUUUAUUAUACAUAAUGUCUAACAUUUUUUAAAUUACUAGAUGUGGAAGAUCAAGUUCAUUUGCCCAAUAAUCAAGAGAAAAAAACACACACAAUAGAAACACAAUUAUAGAUGAUCAAGAUAUUGUAAUCAGCAAAUGAGAAUUUACAAAUAAUUUUUAUGAAUAUGUUUAAGAAAAUAAAGUGCAAAAUUGAUGAGGAAAUGGACAAUUUUCAGUAAAACUAACCUAUAAAAAAGAUUUCUUUAGGCAUUCUAAAUUUGAAAAAAUAUACUAUCGUCAGUUAAGAAAUCAAUAUAUGGAGAAAACUGCAGUGGAAAGGAUCAGUAGAGAUAGCAGUGUGUCCAACAGCCAAGAAAGUAGGGUGGCGGGCAUACAGAUAGUGAUGUGCAUAGGGGCAAAAGAAGUCAUAAUGGGAAAGCCAUGUGGAGGCAGCAGAGUGCCUGGUGUCCAAGGAAGCAUGUAUAGGGGGUACAUAUGGUGGCAGUUGUAUGCUCAGCAGAAGAAGCACCAGGGAGGUGAAGGUAAGAGUAAGUUGGGGUGCACAGUUAACAAUGUGUCUAACAGCCAGAAGGUGGAGACAGGGGCAUGGAGGCAGUGGCAUAUCAAACAGACCAGGGUUUGGUGGGGAGAAGAGUUCAAAAGUGACAACUUGCCUGGAGAUGAAAUCAGGAGUGAUGAGUUGGCCAUGGCAGUACCUAGCAUUUUUAGGAAAUUAAUUAUGUAAAGGAGGAUUGAUCAAGAAAGUAUCUAUAUUGAAGCUAAUGGAAGCUGGAUUUCUCUCUGUGGGAAAACAAAUUUACAAAUAUGAAAAGGGGAAGCGAAAAAAAUAACUCAUUGCUAUUGUUAUGGUAAGAAGGAAGAAGGAAGGAAGGAAAGAGCAAAAGGAAGGAAAGAAGGAAAGAGUGAAAGGGAAGGGAGGAAAGAAACAAAAAAAAUUAUCAAUGCAAGUGAAUAUGUCUGUGUACAUAUCCAUGAAUACAUACAUAUAUUUCAAAAUUCUGACCAUGGAGAGGACCUAGGUGCAAUGACACCCCAGUAGCAAUUAAUAACAAGUAUGUAGGUUCCAAUUUCCAUAACAAACAACAAGGACUCCUUGUAAAAGUGGAUGAUUCAAGGAUGGAGGUAGAGAAAUUUCAAGAUAAGCCUGGAACGUUGGAUAAUAAUGAACUGUGGUUUGAAUGCUGGUAUUUAUCGCUGUCCAUUUUCUGAUUUGAAAGGCUUGGCAAUUACUCUGUAGGAGAGUGUCUUUGGGAGAAGUAGUAAUAGGAAUAUUUACAGAUGAUAGGACAUAAAGGUUUCAACUUGCUUAACUUGCUCUCAAAAUAUUCAAAAAAGGUAUCAUAUCCUUGAAAAUACACAUCUAUCUAUCUAUCUAUCUAUCUAUCUAUCUAUCUAUCUAUCUAUCAUCUUUACAAAAAGAGAUGGAGAAAAUAUGAAACUAUUAACUGAGGAAUCUGGAUGAAGAGAAUGUGGGAGUUCAUUCUACUGUUCUUGCAACUUUUCUGAUAAAAAUAUUUCAAAGUAAAUUAUUUCAAAAUUAAAUUUAAAAACUCAAUAUAUGAGUUUAACAAUAGGUUGGACACUAUUGAAUACAAGACUUGUGAACUGGAAACAUAUCAAUGAAAAAUAUACAAAGUGAAGCAUGGAAGAAAAAAAGAAAGAGAAAAAAUAAGAAACAAAUGUAAGAGACAUACAGGACAAGUAUGAAAGGUCUACCAUGUAAAACUGAAGUUUCAGAGGGCAAGGAGAAAGAAAUAGAGCAGAAGCAAUAUUCAAAGGGAUAAUGGUUGGGAAUUUUCUAAAGCAGAUAAAAUACAUUUAACCCACUGGUUAAGAAGCUCAGCAAACCCUCAAGCAGGAUAAGUAUAGAGAAAACCACAAUUAUGCAACUCACAAUAAAACUGCUGAACCAAAGACAGAGAAGAUGGAAAAACCAGCCAGAAGAAAAAAGACACAUUAUCUACAAAAGAGCAACAAUGAGACUGGCAGCUGUCUCUAAUAGCAACAAUAGAAGCCAGAAGAUAAUGGAAUGCUAUCUCUAGAGUACUGAAAGAAACUAAAGGCCAACGUGUGAAAAACAAUCUUCAGAAAUGAACGUUAAAUGAUGACAUUUUCAAACAAACAAGCAACAAAAAGAAGCAAAAAGUAAACAAAAAACAAAAAUUCACAUAAUUUAUUGCUAGGAGUUUUACACUGAAAUGCUGAAGGGAUUUCUACUAGCAAAAGUAAAAAUGAUCUCAUUUGAAAAGAUGGAAAUUCAAGGAGGGAAUGAAGAAUACUGGAUGGGUAAAUGUGUUGGUAACUGUAAAUGAAUACUGACUACACAAAAUUAUGUUGAAUAACUGAAAGAUGAAAACACAAUCACUUGAAGGAGAAAUGUAUGGUCAAACUGCAUGCAGGAAAAACUUCUAUAAAAGAGUUACUUCAUGCUCUGGGUUGGCAGAUACAAUGAGCAGGAGUGCAUCAGAAGUAAUCAAGAAGGUGAUUAGUUGGUGUACUUCAGCAGGAGCAACCAGAUGAAUUGGCUUCUCUAUAUCCCCGUAUUAGCCACAAGCUAGGCAGCAGCCUGCAGGUGGGAGCAAUGCCUAUGCAUGUAUGGAUCAGUGUGCUACAUACAGUCACGUUGACAGCAUGAACCUUCGAUGUGAUGUGAGGAAAAUGGCAUUCUACCUCUGUGUUCUUCCUCCCCAAAAUUUGUAACCACCAUCUAAUCAUGAGGAAAACAUCAUACAAGUCCAAAUUGAGGAAGAUUCUACAAAAUGCCUGAUUAAUAUUCAUCGAAACUGUCAAGGUCAUCAAAAGCAAGGAAAGUCUGAGAAACUGCCACAGCCUAAAGACAAUCCAGGGAAACGUGAUGACUCAGUGGUAUUCGGGGUGGGUUUCUGGAACAGCAAAAGGACAACAGGCACUGGACUUCAUUACUUCCUUACUGCAACCUGGCGCUUAAAGUGCUAUCAUCACAAGGAUGAAGAAACAGUUCAGAAAGGCUGAUUGAGAUGGCUAUGGUCAUGCCUUAUACCACUGGCAGGUGUAAGCAGUAACUCCAGACCCUGAGUGCUUCUCCAUUGUAGCCCUGUGUCUUUUUUUCAGGCAUGGGUAACAUUUCAAGGCAAAAAGUGAUGAGUACUAAGACUCCUC
rnacentral:lncRNA from 1 species